UUUGCCCCCAGCCAAGAUUUCCUCUGUUUGUGCUUUUAGCUCUAAACCAAUUCUUUGUCCCCAGUUUUAUGUGCCUGAUCCUGUAGUCCUGAGGAAGGACCAGUCCAACAGUUGCCAUUUUCCCUCUCUUUCUCACUUUCCCAUCAGUGCACUCUGCAACUUGAAGCUAUGUAUGCACAGUGUGUCAAACACUGAUUUUCAGCUUCAAGAGGAAAUCAGAGAAGGGAUUUUUGUGCUGGGGGACCUGGUCUAACCCACUGCUCUGUCUCAGAAUUAACUAAAACCACAAUUCUUCAAGGAUUUUAACUGUAGUAUUCUUGCUUCUAAAUGCCUGAUGAGGAAAAGCCAUGUCAGUGGGGUGCAGCAUCGUCCCUUUUGCAGGGAAAGAGGUGGGAAAUGGCACAUUUUGAGGCUUCUAUGGAACUGUUUCCUGGGGCUGGAGAGCAGACUCUGCCUUCCUGCCCGUGCACUCGUUUGCUGAAGCUGAGCAGGGUCAUUUGCACUCUGGGGUUGGUGUCCCUCGUGUCCUCCUUGGAAGUUCUAUUUGUUGUGCCAAGGGGAGUUGUCAGGGACUGGAGGUGGUAAUGGAAUUUAGCAGUUGAGGAGACUCUGAGAAAUUCCAGUGAAUUUGAAACACAAUUAAAGAAAUCAAACCAGAAGCCUCUGUCACCAUCCUCUGUGGACAUUGGCCAAGGGGAGAGUCACAUCUGUGCCACUGCAGGUGCAGCAGAGCCCUGGCUCCCAAAAUGCUCCAAAGCUCCUGGUGGGCACAGGCUGAGGGUCAUUUUGAGCUCUGCUGCACGGUCCCUGUGUGAGGAAGCACAACAGAGAGAGCUGGAUUUCUCUGGAAGGUGUGACCUGCUCUUUGAAAGUGGGGGAAAAUACUUAUUUUUAAUCACCUUCAUCUCAAGAGCUGUAAUUGAGGUUAUGAAGUUAUAGUGGAUUAACAGCUCUGCACUGCUGUUGGCUCCUGUGUAUGGUGGUGGAAAAGAACCCAUGAGCAGCUUUGAUCCGAAGGGACUAAAACAGAUGGAAGCCUUGGGAUCCUCCUGUGCUUGGUAAAGGAACAGUCAGUAAAAUGAUAGCAAAGUAUUAGUUCUAGGGGAGAGAAAAAAAAAAAAGAUACUUGCAAUUCCCUUUACAUUUGCAUAAUUUUCUUUACGUUGCAAAAAUAAUUGAAUGUGGCUCCAACGUGCUGGUCCUGGGAAGCCUCCUGGAAAGGCAGGAGGUACCUGACAGCACUUGGACUGGGCUGUUUUGCCUGGGCUGUUAAUUAUUUUCAUUUAUGAAAUUCUAAAUUCGAAAUUCUGUUUUAAAUAUUGAAUAUUUCUGGUGAAAUGACAGCUUGUGCUCGCUUUAGGAUAUGCCUGCCUGGUAAUUAUUCAUGAGGAGAACAGCUGAAAACAAACUCGUUAUACACCUUGGCAAGUCCCUGUGAUUUGAAUUCUGUGAAAUUUCCCCAUGGCCAUGUGACUUUAUUCUGAAGUACUCGAGCAGUGCAGAUGUCCAGAAUGCCAGAGCUGUUACAAAUGUUAUUCCUGUAGUCAAAGUUUUGAAUCAUCAGCGCUUCAGGAAAAGGGGGGGGGGGGAAAGAAGAAAAAAGAGGAGCAAAGACUGAUGAUACAGGGUGUGUUUUGAGUGUUUGUCACAUCCUUCAUUACGUGCAGCUCUCGUACAUUACCAGAGCACAGACAGAUCUCAGGAAUAUAUCUCAGUGCAUGUUCAGGGCACGGAAUGGAAUUUUCAAAUUUCCAAUGCCUGGAAGAACAGCCCACUGAAAGGCACAGAGUAUUUUAACUGUCUCCUUUAAGCCAUGAUACAAUAAGCAUCAGCACUGACAUUUUUGGAAGUUUAGAAGUAAGACAAUUUCUGUGUAACAUUGGAUGAAGAAUCAAAAUGCUUCAGAUUUAGCUAAAAAUAAAACAUUUCUCUACUUUCGCCUUUUCUUUUUCUUCUC